GAUGAACGCUAGCUACAGGCUUAACACAUGCAAGUCGAGGGGAAACGACAUCGAAAGCUUGCUUUUGAUGGGCGUCGACCGGCGCACGGGUGAGUAACGCGUAUCCAACCUGCCCACCACUUGGGGAUAACCUUGCGAAAGUAAGACUAAUACCCAAUGAUAUCUCUAGAAGACAUCUGAAAGAGAUUAAAGAUUUAUCGGUGAUGGAUGGGGAUGCGUCUGAUUAGCUUGUUGGCGGGGUAACGGCCCACCAAGGCUACGAUCAGUAGGGGUUCUGAGAGGAAGGUCCCCCACAUUGGAACUGAGACACGGUCCAAACUCCUACGGGGGGCAGCAGUGAGGAAUAUUGGUCAAUGGACGAGAGUCUGAACCAGCCAAGUAGCGUGCAGGAUGACGGCCCUAUGGGUUGUAAACUGCUUUUAUAAGGGAAUAAAGUGAGCCUCGUGAGGCUUUUUGCAUGUACCUUAUGAAUAAGGACCGGCUAAUUCCGUGCCAGCAGCCGCGGUAA
rnacentral:rRNA from 1 species